rnacentral:lncRNA from 1 species
UUUUGUAUAAAAAAUAAAGGUAAGAAUGUAAUAUAUUUAAUUUCAGUAUUUUUUGAGAUUUUUUUUAAAAAAAAAUAUAUGAAUCAACGGACUUUUGUGUCAAAAUAUAGUGACUGAACAUGCAUUUUCCCUUAUUUAUGAGUAUCUCUCAUGAUUUGAGCCAUAGGUUCGAUUAAUUUUUUUUGUAAGUAUGCAUUUCUAUUUAUAUAUGGCCAAGACUUAUUUAUUAUAUUCACAUUUAUCAAUUACCAAUCAUGUAAUUAUAUCUACUUAGAUAAAUGAUUAGAUCACGAUAGAAUCCUUAUUUUUUAAAUCAAGAGGUAUGAGUGUGGGUGUUAGCGAGAUCAGUUGGCAAAAUCUAAUAGAUAUAAAAGAAGAGGUAUUAGGGUUUUACCCCGCUCAUACACAUUGAUGGGGAGAAUAUUUGGUUGCCAUCAGCCCAAAAAAAAAAAGGUAAUAAAACUAUGAAGAAGUACAAGUCAAUGUUUCAUAUUAACAACCGAAAGAGGUAUAGAUUUGUGGUUGCGGAACAAAUACCUUCAACUUGCAGCAACUUUACUCAAGAUUGGAAAAAGAACAACCAUUUCUACUCCAAUGCAUAAUCCCAUUUGCUCAACUUAUCAAUGAAGCUUCACUGAUCCCUAUUUGUUUCCAUUACAUCCUAUAUUUUUCGUUACAUUUGGCAAAAGUUAAUUGCCCUAGAAGCAGUAGUAUAAGGUAUGACAUAUUAGGGUUUAAUCACUUUUAUGUUUGUUAUUGUAUUAGAGUCAUGUUAGUAUCUUAAUUUACGACUUUGAUUUAUUGAGUAAUUAUGUUCAUUUUAAGAAAGACUGGUUUACCCUAAGAUAUAAAUAGGAAUAUCUUGUCAUUGUUUUAGAUAAUGUUCAAUAAAUAUAUCUCUCAUUUAUUUUUCGGAUGGGGAUGGUAAUUUUAAAACUUGAAAUGUCACCAUUAAACCUUGUGAUUGCCACAUAACUUUUAUGCAUAUGUGUAUAUAUGUAUGUUUGUAUACACUCACAAAUAUACAUAUAAAUAAAUGUAUAGAGCCCUCACUUUGGACUUUCUUUGUUGAAAAGUUGGUCUUUGUGGUUUGGUAAGAGCUCUAAGUCAAGAUUGUUGAUUCUCCUCGUUAUUUGUAAUGAUUUUUUUUUGUGGAAAAUUCGGACAGUUUUCUUAUGAUUCAAUUUUUUCUCUUUUUAUAGGUAAAAUAUCUUCAAUCGGUCCAUAUAGGUCAAAAAUCCAUAUAUCGCUAAUUGCUAUGAAUGAGAACAUUGAAGUCUUGUUUAUAAUUAAAGUUAAACGGUUAUAGUUUAAAAGUUAUAUCA